rnacentral:rRNA from 1 species
GACGGAGGAUGCAAGUGUUAUCCGGAAUUAUUGGGCGUAAAGCGUUUGUAGGUGGAUAUAUAAGUCCGUUGUUAAAUCCAGAGGCUUAACCUCUGUUCAGCAAUGUGAAACUAUAUAUCUUGAGGAUGGUAGGGGUAGAAGGAAUUCCUAGUGUAGCGGUGAAAUGCGUAGAUAUUAGGAAGAACACCAAAGGCGAAGGCAUUCUGCUGGGCCAAUCCUGACACUGAGAAACGAAAGCUAGGGGAGCGAAUGGG